UAUAAAGUAACUCUCCGCCGGACAAGGGACGUAGAAGUGGUUGCCGCUUGUGCCCUGUCGAGAUGACGCGCCAUGUUGUGGUCAACGUCGCGUGUGGCGUGUUGUUUGUAGCCCUUGUGGUGCAAGCGGGGAGCGUGCGCAGGGUCCGUCGUCAAGUCGUUUACGAGGACACCUCUCAAGGGACUCCAAAGAUCCGAAUGUCCCACGCGAUCCCCAGGGUUGUCCCUUACGCGCCGUCCCCACUCAGCUCUGUAGUCGGCUAUCCGGGCGAUCUGAGCAGUUUCCUAAAGCCCACCCCGUCUACGACGACCGCAUCAUCGGUCGCUAGAACGGUGCCUUCCUCGCCUUCCAGUCUGCCACCCAAAAGACAAGGCAGGCGACGGGCCUUCGGACAACGAAAAUUGAGACGCCGACCCACUGCCCAGAACUGAACAUGCCCCAAAAGGAUAUUUCGACUGUCCUGUUGUGAUGGACAGCACCCCAGGACGUCACUGCUUCAACUGCUCCGGAAUACGGCCACCGACCUGACCCAUCGUCUAUAGUUCGAGGAGAUAUCUGCUUUAUUGCAUUCUCCUAAGUUAUAAAAUCCUUAUAC